UACGUAGGGUGCAAGCGUUACUCGGAAUUACUGGGCGUAAAGCGUGCGCAGGCGGCUUUGCAAGACAGAUGUGAAAUCCCCGGGCUUAACCUGGGAACUGCAUUUGUGACUGCAUGGCUAGAGUGCGGCAGAGGGGGAUGGAAUUCCGCGUGUAGCAGUGAAAUGCGUAGAUAUGCGGAGGAACACCGAUGGCGAAGGCAAUCCCCUGGGCCUGCACUGACGCUCAUGCACGAAAGCGUGGGGAGCAAACAGG
rnacentral:rRNA from 1 species